rnacentral:lncRNA from 11 species
CCGAACCGUCAGUCAGCCGUGCUUCGUCGUAGGGAUGAGAUCGCAACGAGGAAUGACGUUGCACGUUUCGACAUUCGCGCGUCGACGGUGACACGAUAUAAAAACUACACGCGGCUCGCUUUACGUAUACAUUAGAUGUCACGUUCGUGUAUCCAGUUCCGUGGCGAGUAAUCGUGUAAUCAAUCCCGUUUGGCGGUACCGAGAGGAGGCGUGUUUCCCAGGCUGUGCAACUGUGCGGUGUUCUAUCCCCGUUUCUCCAUCUUCCGCAUUCCUCGCUUCGAUUGGAGUAUCUCUCUGUGCACGACGAGAGCGUGUAUCGACGACGGCUCCACGACGACGGAGAAGACCAGUGGUACGCGCAGAACAGUUCGAUUCGAUUGAAGGAAAGCCAACAAGGAACACCAGCUGAAAUCAUCCGGAGGAUGAGCUAAAACGGAGAACGAAAUAGAGAAGAGCGGAACGGACGAGUCAUCGACGAAUUUUCCUAGGUAUGCAGCCAGCAGGGAGGAUGCAACGGUCGAUGACGUGAAUCGACCGACUUUUCGGUCGAUAACUGCCCGCCACGAUUGGCAGCCUCUGAAUGGCUGGCCAACCGUCCCGUUCUCACUUCUGUCGGUGGACUGUUGUGCCCCGGUACCGGAUAACCGGCCUAUAAGUGCGUUUCCUCCGAACGAAUAAUCCUUUAUUCCGUUCGUGAUAUCCCAUUUCUCUGUAUUACCAAAUGCUGUUCGUGUACGGUUGAAGUGAUCCCCUUGACCGUCUCCGAGUUUCUUCGAGCCGCUCCCCGCUCCGCGCGAUCGUUGGAACGAGCAGUCCCCCCCACCACCGCGCCACGAGUUUCGAGAGGAGUGGGGGAAGAGGCGAGCAGAAAGGCGGGAAGAAGAACAGGGAAGAAGCGGCCUAUUCUCUGUUUGGAAUAACAGUUUGUCGAAGGUCGUUGGCGAGCAUCUUCCGUCGCGUAAUCGAAAAGUUGGAAAUAAAAGAGAGAGGAACGAAGAGAGAAGGAGUUUGUCGGAAGGUUCUUCUUUUUCUUUUUUCCUUCUCCUCCUCUCCCUUUCCCCUCACCCGUGGAAGACAAGUGGCCACUUUCUCUCUAUCCUCUCCUCAGGGGUCGGCGGAUGAAGGCAAAGUGGACGGCGAGCAACGCGGAACACCGGCUCUUUCGCUACGCGCCUCGCCCUUGAUUCAGAAGGACGGCCACGUGCACGACGACGGCGCGAGAUAAUCGGUAUCACGGGGAAUCACGUUCAUUUCCCCACCAACUACGGCCACAUGACUUGACGAUCGCCCCACCUACCGCUGUUCGUCGUUGAGCGAAAGCGGCGACAGUGGCAGCAACGUGACCGACGUGGGGAGGGCGAGCGCAUCACGACGACCACGACGACGAUCGGCGACACCAACAACGGCGACGACGACGACGACGACGACGACGACGACGACGACGGCGACGACGACGAGGAAGAAGGAAGAAGAACGGCGGAGGAGUAAGUCAUCGGUUACUACUCGCAAGGCUACUUAACGAGUGACAUAGGCCGUUGGUGGUUCAGUUAGCCGCGGACGGUCAACCCAGGUGCGAGAGUCGUUCGCGCUCUUUUAUCCUUUUUUCUUUUUCGUUAUCUCCCCCCUCCCUCUUCCGUUCUUUCUUUUCUCCCCCUUAUUCCACCUCUAUUUCGCCUUUUUUCUCGAACGACUUUUCGGGUGGGUAGAAAAAGAUUCGCCAAGAUUGGAUAGAUAGAUAGUUAGAUAGUUAGAUAGAUAGAUAGGUAGAUAAGUGUUGAUCGUGGUGACUGUGCUGGUGCCGUUGUUUGUUGUCGUUGUUCUUCGGCUCGGGAAGUAGCGGUUUUCAGUGUGGAUAGUGCGGAUAACAGUGACGAGUGUGAAACUGGAGCCGCAAGCGGUAGAAGCAGUUGCAGUCGAGAGCUAUCAUGUGCCCGCGGAGGAUCUUCGGACUGGCCAUCGUCGCGCUGGUGACUUUUGGUGGACGAGCGGCAGCCUAUACGAAUCAGUGGGCAGUGCAUAUCGAGGGGGGACCGGAUGUGGCCCAGCAGGUCGCGCGAGAGCAUGGAUUUCAAUAUCUCGAUAAGAUAGUGGACGAUUGGUACCACAUGGUGCACACGUCAGUCGUGAAGAGAUCAGCGGAACCGCAUUUCGGGGUGCAGGGGAGGCUAAUAGAGGACCGCAGAGUGCGUCGAGCUGAGCAACAACGGGUAAAAUCGAGAACGAAACGGGAUCUAAUUAUUAAACGCGGUCCGUCCAACCUGAGAACAGUUCUCAACGACGAGAUGUGGCCUCAGAUGUGGUACUUGAACAGGGGAAAGGGGUUAGAUAUGAACGUGCAGGAAGCUUGGGCUGAAGGAAUUACGGGACGCGGAGUCGUGGUCACGAUUCUUGAUGACGGAUUGGAGAAGAAUCAUCCGGAUCUUUAUAAGAACUACGACCCACAAGCCAGCUACGAUGUCAAUAACCAUGAUGAAGAUCCCAUGCCACGAUACGAUGUUCUAGACAGUAAUCGACAUGGCACCAGAUGCGCUGGUGAAGUGGCUGCAACUGCUAACAAUUCCUUGUGCGCGGUAGGAGUUGCAUUUGGAGCUGGCGUCGGGGGAGUGAGAAUGUUGGACGGGGACGUGACGGAUGCCGUGGAAGCAAGGUCUCUGAGCCUGAAUCCUCAACACAUCGAUAUUUAUAGUGCCUCAUGGGGACCUGACGACGAUGGAAAAACCGUCGAUGGUCCUGGCGAACUUGCCACUAGAGCUUUCAUCGAGGGGAUCACAAAGGGUCGCAACGGUAGAGGGUCGAUUUUCGUCUGGGCGUCGGGGAACGGCGGCAGGGAUCACGACAACUGCAACUGCGACGGUUACACGAACAGCAUCUGGACGUUGUCCAUCAGCAGCGCGACGGAGAACGGCCAGGUGCCUUGGUACAGCGAGGCGUGCUCGUCCACCCUGGCUACGACCUACAGUUCCGGUUCAUCGGGGGAGAAACAAGUGGUGACCACUGACCUGCAUCACCUUUGCACGACCAGCCACACGGGCACGUCUGCAUCGGCGCCCUUGGCAGCCGGUAUAUGCGCCCUCGCCCUCGAGGCCAACAGAGAUCUGACUUGGAGGGAUAUGCAACACAUCGUCGUGAGGACAGCGAAACCUGCCAAUCUGAAAGCUAUGGAUUGGGUGACCAAUGGUGUUGGACGAAACGUGAGCCACAGUUUUGGUUAUGGCUUAAUGGAUGCAGCUGCCAUGGUGCGGUUGGCCAAAAGAUGGCGAACAGUACCGGAACAACACAAAUGCGAGGUGUCAGCACCACACAUGGGCAGGCCAAUACCACCAAAGAGCCAGCUAACUCUGGAAUUGCACGUCAAGGAGUGUAGCGGCGUUAAUUUUCUCGAGCACGUGCAAGCAAAGGUUUCAUUGAUGGCGUCGAGAAGAGGGGAUCUUCAGAUACAACUAACAUCUCCACAAGGUACAAAGAGUACCCUUCUUGCAAAAAGGUCACACGACGUCUCGAAGGCUGGUUUCAAUCAAUGGCCAUUUAUGUCGGUUCACACUUGGGGAGAAAGGCCACACGGCACGUGGAAACUUGAAAUCCACAAUGAGGGUCGAUACCAAGGUCGCGCCACGCUUCACGAAUGGGCGUUGAUAUUUUACGGGACGUCGACGCUUCCCGAUCGCACGGAAUACGCGUUGUACAAUCCCGCCGGGAUGAACAUACCGAGAAGGCCAUUCGUCAAACCGCGCGAGACAGUGUUCUCCAAGGCUCAGAACUCUCUCACGAGCUCGAAGAUCAAGCAGAGCCAGCACAAGUCGGAGAAGCCGGGUAGUCUCAGCCCGCCUUACGUGGUGAACGCCCAGAUACAGUCGCAGAGGAAGAGCAAGGCGCGCGGCCAGCACAAAAAUGGCAAAUCGGCCAAUAAACCGACCCCGAAGCCGACCGUGCAGACGUUGAGGGGGUUGACCGUGGCGAGGGGGCCUAACGUCGCGGGGGAGGUACGCCUGAUCACGUCCAGGCCACGAGGGAGGAGCACACCAAGCCCUGUCACGACCACUGUCGCGCACCAAACCAGUCCGCCCACCGCUGUUCCAACCACAAAAGUGGCCAGCAGGCAAAGAAUCGUGGACGUGGCGACUGCCUCGUCCCUUCAGAGGGGUUUGAUCCUCUUGGAGCCACCAGCGAAACCUGCCAUCAACAACGUGCCAGCCAUUUUCCAACAGUAUCCCAAGAUUCAACAGCUCUAUCCAUUGUAUCCUGUCUAUCCCGGGGUUAGAGGAGCCGGCCAGCAACACGCGACCAGGGCCAAGGGGUUGGAAUUGCUGCAGGAUGAACAGUUCGAUUCGAAGAACUUGGAUAAGGACACCCUCGACGAGUUCAAGCUAGUGUUCUACGGCACGGAAACGUCGUUGGAAUUCGACGACGAGUUGGACAAGGACAAACCGUUGCCACCGGUGAACCAGCAGGACGUGAGCCAGGACAAUACGGCGAUAGGCGCGAGGCACAACGUGAUGGACACGGAGGGUGGUCCGUGGACAGGUAGCCAACAGGUGGAGCGCGUGUCCCAUCCGGAAGUGCAGAGGCCCACGACCGAGAACCAGACGAGCGGUUGCAGCGGCAUCGACACUGGAAAUGGCAGGUGCCUAGUUUCGUCAUGGAUCUAUAAUAUACAACAAAUUAUAAGUAAAACAAUCACGUACAUAUGGUAAUAUGGAAUGAAAUAUAUAAGUGAAAUAUAUAUCAUUUUUUUUUUUUUUUUUUAGUUAAAA